AUCACGGAGGCGCAGAUCGCGGUGAUUGUGCUGCAGAUGACCGUGCUGACGGACGCGGUCAAGAGCCUUCAACGGCAACCAACCCAGUUGCCGCACUCGCCGAUGGAGCAACCGACGGCACACCCGAUGCCCUCCAGGAGCUUCCGACUGGCGCCUGACUUAAGGCACGGGCCGAAAGGAAAAACGGAAGAAAGGUCGGGCCCAUGCUGAACCCAGCAGGCCCUCCACUGAUAGACGGGUCUUGCCCCGACGACGGAGUCCGAGACCGACGCAUCGC
rnacentral:lncRNA from 1 species